rnacentral:lncRNA from 1 species
AUGGUGGCCAUGGCGUCUUCGCGUUGGCCAUGGGGUCUUCAUGUUGGCCAUGUUGCCUUCAUGGUGACCAAGGGGAUGAGGUGGUGGCCAUGGGGACAAGAUGGUGGCCAUGGGGAUGUCGUGUUGUACACGGGGACAUUGCAGUGGCCACGGGGUCUUCAUGUUGACCAUGGGGAUGAGGUGGUGGCCAUGGGGUCUUCGUGUUGGCCAUGGUGUCUUCACGUUGGCCAUGUUGUCUUCAUGGUGACCAAGGGGAUGAGGUGGUGGCCAUGGGGACAAGAUGGUGACCAACGGGGUGAGGUGGUGGCCAUGGGAGCCUCACGUUGGCCAUGGGGUCUUCAUGUUGGCCAUGUGGAUGAGAUGGUGGCCAUGGGGACGUCUUGUUGGCCAUGGGUUCUUCGUGUUGGCCACGGGGCCUUCAUGUUGGCCAUGGGGACAUCGUGGUGGCAUCGGGUCUUCAUUUUGACCAUGGAGACGUCGUAUUGGCCAUGGAGUCUUCACGUUGGCCAUGGGGUCUUCAUGUUGGCCAUGGGGAUGUCGUGGUGGCCAUGGGGACGUCAUGGUGACCAAGGGGAUGAGGUGGUGGCCAUGGGGACGUCAUGUUGGCCACGGGGUCUUCACGUUGGCCACGGGGUCUUCCCCGUUGACCGCCGCGCGGCGUUGUCCGCCAGGUGAACGAGGCGGAGGAGGAGCGGCUGCGCAGCG